AUUGAUUGGUGACAUACAACACACCUGCUGCUCAUCUUCACGCACACGCGAAAAAAGUGUCGCUGCUUAACUACUGAAACUGUUCCGGGAGGAAGGAACUUGUGGCAGUAAUGCACCAACCGCCAUAAAACCUCAGAAAAGGAGGGAACUUUAAAAAAAAAGAAGAGAGAAAAAAAAGGAAAACUACCGCGCCGUGACGUCAGACGCCGAAAAGGUGCACGCGGCCUCCAGGAUGGCGUGUUCGACCUGGUCCAGGUUGGUGGCCCGUCCAGAAUGGAACAACCUGCUUCCUGCUCACAGAGACCUGGUCAGACCGUCAUAUACAAAAGCCUGAGGCUGUCAAAAAAAGAUUGAUCUUCAUGAAGACUGUCAAAUAGUAGGUGUCAUGAUUUAAUUCUGGGUGGCCGCCGUGUCCCCACUCUUUCUUGGCCGCCGUG